CCGAGUUUACAACUCCCAAACCCCUGUGAACAUACCAAUUGUUGCCUCGGCGGAUCAGCCCGCUCCCGGUAAAACGGGACGGCCCGCCAGAGGACCCCUAAACUCUGUUUCUAUAUGUGACUUCUGAGUAAAACCAUAAAUAAAUCA
rnacentral:misc_RNA from 1 species